rnacentral:rRNA from 1 species
AUGAACGCUGGCGGCGUGCCUAAUACCUGCAAGUCGCGCGCACGGACGAGAAGCUUGCUUCUCUGAUGUUAGCGGCGGACGGGUGAGUAACACGUGGAUAACCUACCUAUAAGACUGGGAUAACUUCGGGAAACCGGAGCUAAUACCGGAUAAUAUUUUGAACCGCAUGGUUCAAAAGUGAAAGACGGUCUUGCUGUCACUUAUAGAUGGAUCCGCGCUGCAUUAGCUAGUUGGUAAGGUAACGGCUUACCAAGGCAACGAUGCAUAGUCGACCUGAGAGGGUGAUCGGCCACACUGGAACUGAGACACGGUCCAGACUCCUACGGGAGGCAGCAGUAGGGAAUCUUCCGCAAUGGGCGAAAGCCUGACGGAGCAACGCCGCGUGAGUGAUGAAGGUCUUCGGAUCGUAAAACUCUGUUAUUAGGGAAGAACAUAUGUGUAAGUAACUGUGCACAUCUUGACGGUACCUAAUCAGAAAGCCACGGCUAACUACGUG